AUGCACCAAAAAUAUGAGGCUUCCACUGCUGAACUGGAGUCCCAAUUGAAUGAUGCCAAGACCCGGCUGGUGACUCAGGAAACUAAGACCCGGAAGGCUGAGUCAAAAUUCCAGUUUAGCAUGGCUGAGUCGGAAAAACUGAAGACCAGCUUUGAAGAAGAGAAAAAGACUUGGGCGGGUGAAAAGACGGCUUUAACCCAACGUGCCGAGAAGGCAGAAACAACGCUUCAAGAGGUGGCCACUGAGCUCACCGGUUUAAAACAUCAUGUAACUCAGAUGGUUUCAGCUAUCUUUGGUCCCAGGAGCAGCAAUCUCAAUCAAGACAUGCUUGUGAAGCUUAAAGCUGUCUAUACACUUGUCGAGCAGCUGUACACCGGGACUCAAUGUGCAUUAGCUGCCAUUUCGCCAACAGGUCAAGCACCAACUAUGUUGAUAGAUGUGUUGAAGAAACUCUCUGUGUUGCCUGUGAGAUUUGAUGAGAUAAUGCGAUCAUCUGCAAGAGCCGGCGCCGUGACGGCUUUGAGCCGGGCCAAGGCAUGGGUACCAGAGCUUGACCCGUUUGAGGUAGCCACUGGUUACCCAAGCUUGAAAGAAGAUGGUACACCUUUCGAUCAGAAAGACUUCUCAGCCUGCGUAAAGGAAAUUCGUCCAAUGGCCACUCUGAUUGGCAAUGAUUCGGACCUCUCCAAGUACCAUCCGGCUUAUAACCAGGAUAAUAAGAAGAUGCCAACCCCGGCUUACAAAGUGAUGGACUUAAUCCCGCCAAUCCGUAAGCACACCUUUGCUCCUGAAGUCGAUCCGUCUGAGCUUAUAGAUGAUGAGGCUGAAUUUGAAGCUUUAUCUGGCAUCGAUUGGUCAUCACCAACUUUUCAGACAGCGGAAGAAGAUGAAGAGCCGGCAAAGGAUGAUGCAGAAGACUCCGAGUGGCAAGGACAAGAAGAUUGA
rnacentral:rRNA from 1 species